GCAGUAGCGCGGUGGUCCCACCUGACCCCAUGCCGAACUCAGAAGUGAAACGCCGUAGCGCCGAUGGUAGUGUGGGGUCUCCCCAUGCGAGAGUAGGGAACUGCCAGGC
rnacentral:rRNA from 8 species